UGCACACAUCUUCUUCUCCAAGGUUUGUGUGCAGAACAUCCUGCCCAUGCUGCCCCAGCAGCUUCAGUUGGCAUCUGCCCCAGUCCAGCCUCUGGGACCCAUGCAGCGGCUCCCAGCGGCCCUGCACCCACCACCAGCAUCCGUUUCACCUGCAGUUGAAGAUCUGUGAGGUGCCCAGAAGAUCAUGCAGUCAUCAGUCCCACGGAGCAGCCCGCAAGGCUGAGGCUCCUCCCACUGGACCGCCCCCCAACUGGCACCACUGCUGCCUGUGCCCCUACUCUCAGCCUCACGUGACUCUCGGGCAGAGGCAGUGGUGGGGCAGCCAGGGCAGCGUCAGAGUCUGAGCCAG
rnacentral:lncRNA from 1 species